rnacentral:rRNA from 1 species
ACGAACGCUGGCGGCGUGCCUAACACAUGCAAGUGGAGCGACGAACCGGGGCUUGCCCCGGGGCAGAGCCGCGAACGGGUGAGUAACACGUGGGUUACCUGCCCCGAUGACUGGGACAACCCGUCGAAAGACGGGCUAAUACCGGAUGUGCCCUUUGGGGGAAAGGAAGCUUCGGCCUCCGCAUCGGGAUGGGCCCGCGGCGCAUUAGCUUGUUGGUGGGGUAAUGGCUUACCAAGGCGACGAUGCGUAGCUGGUCUGAGAGGACGAUCAGCCACACUGGGACUGAGACACGGCCCAGACUCCUACGGGAGGCAGCAGUGGGGAAUCUUGCACAAUGCGCGAAAGCGUGAUGCAGCAACGCCGCGUGCGGGAAGAAGGCCUUAGGGUUGUAAACCGCUUUCAGUUGGGACGAAGCUUCGGUCGUGAAUAGCGGUUUGGAGUGACGGUACCUUCAGAAGAAGCGCCGGCUAACUACGU